ensembl:lncRNA
UCAGAUUCGUGCUAAUUACGGGUAUAAGGAAAUUACAACGAUCAUAUUUCACUUGAUUUAAACCCAGCCAAUAUUUAGGGAACAAUAGUAGGUACUAAGCCCUAGAGAAAAAUCCAACUUAAACCAAACCAGGCCCCUCUGCCACAGCAGUUUUUCCUCAAAGGAGAUGUUUUUAGGUAGUAUCAGGAUGAGAUUUUUUUUUUUUUUUUGAAGUUUUGUAUUUGAGAGGCAAAGAGAGAGAGAGAGGACUUCCACCUGUUGGUUCACUCCCCAAAUGGUUGCAAGGGCCAGAGCUGAGCCUAUCCAAACCCAGGAGACAGGAGCUUCUUCUGGGUCUCCCAUGGGGGUGCAGGGCCUCAAACACUUGGGCCAUUUUUUUUAGUGCUCUCCCAGGCCAUUAGCACGGAGUCGGAUUGGAAGUGGAGCAGCUGGGACUCGAACUAGUGCUCACAUGAGAUGCCGGCCCAGCAGGCACCGGCUUAGCUUACUAUACGGCAGUGCUGGCCCUGAGAUUUUUUUUUUUUUUUUAAGAGUGUAUUUAUGUCACUGUGCACCAGGAAUAUAGCAAGGACAUCAAAUCUGGGAUUUCAUGAUUCCUCUUGUUUAGAAAAGGGUUAAAGAGGGUAUGUGAGGCUGUUUAAUGACAUUAGGUAAACCACACAGAAAUGGCCAGUUGAGGGGGUCAUGGCUAAUUUGCAGGAGGUAGGAGCGCAGUGGGAGAGGAUGACGUGUGCUCCUGAUGGGGACACAGGGGCCACGCUGGCUUCUGGGCUGGGGACAAGGAGGGCUUUAUGCAGGAGGUAGGACUGGCGAUGGGCCUUGAGGAGGCGCUCCACGGCUGUAGGAAAUGCAGGCCACUUGGUGGGAGGAGUGCAGGGGAGGUCACAGCAGCGGUGCUGGCAAAGCAGAAAGGGGACGGGUGCUGAACUGGGCGGUGGGAAGGGGACCAGGAGGAGGAGGAAGAGCCACGAAGCUUUCCCCCAUGGCCAGGCCCAGACGGCGGUGUCUCCUGCCUCGCCUUCCUGAAGAUGCAGGUGGCCAAGUUGGACUUGCCGGCUGCUUCACUCAUGGCCAACGGGCCCAGAGGUAAGGCCAGAGCUCCAUGCAGGCGAGUGUCCCUCUUUCCUAAGACCGGUCACUCUGAGCCCAGCUGCACAAGUUGGGGUCCCUAAGAUUCACCUCCCACCCCCUGCUCCCUCUGCCUUAUUCUGUCUUUAGGGACUGGACUAUCCGGCUGCUCCAGAUUCAACCUCUCCUCUAGGGAGGUGAUGAGCUGCAGCUUGGACUCUGCCCCUACCUCCUCAGAAUCCCAUCUCCCUGCUUCACGGCCCCUACCAGCCCCACCAGCCAGCUGCCGGGGGCAUGGUGGCUCUGGCCAGCACAGGCUUUCAGGGAAAGGUGCGCCAGCAGCCGUGGGCAACUGAGGGAGGAGUCCAGGCAGGCGAAGCAAAGAGCCCCAUGGUGUGGUGUGGGCGGGGCCACAGGUCCCUUGGGCAGCCUGCUCCUUCUGGGAGGAGGAAGAGGGCCCCUUUCCCCCGGAGCUGGGGGACGUCCUCUGGGGCCAGAGCCACCUCGAUCAGUGAGACAACAUUAAACAAGUAGCAUGAGGGCUGCUGUGGAUUAACGCCCUGGCCUGAAGCACCAGCAUCCCAUAUGGGCGCCGGUUCGAGGCUUGGCUGCUCCACUUCCGAUCCAGCUCUCUGCUAUGGCCUGGGAAAGCAGUAGAAGAUGGCCCAAGUCCUUGGGCCCUUGCACCCGCAUGGAAGAUUCGGAAGAAGCUACUGGCUCCUGACUUCAGAUCGGCGCAGCUCUGGCCAUUGUGGCCAACUGGGGAGUGAACCAGCGGAUGAAGACCGACCUCUCUCGGCCUCCCUUCUCUCACUGUGUAACUCUGACUCUCAAAUAAAUAAAUAAAUAAAUAAAUCUUAAAAAAAAAA